rnacentral:rRNA from 1 species
UGAGGAAUAUUGGUCAAUGGGCGCAAGCCUGAACCAGCCAUCCCGCGUGAAGGAUGAAGGCUCUAGUAGUUGUAAACUUCUUUUAUAUGGGAAGAAACCUGAGUACGUGUACCCAGUUGACGGUACCAUAUGAAUAAGCAUCGGCUAACUCCGUGCCAGCAGCCGCGGUAAUACGGAGGAUGCAAGCGUUAUCCGGAUUUAUUGGGUUUAAAGGGUCCGCAGGCGGGGUCAUAAGUCAGUGGUGAAAUCCUGCAGCUUAACUGUAGAACUGCCAUUGAUACUGUGACUCUUGAAUAUGGUUGACGUGGGCGGAAUAUGACAUGUAGCGGUGAAAUGCAUAGAUAUGUCAUAGAACACCAAUUGCGAAGGCAGCUCACGAAACCAUUAUUGACGCUCAGGGACGAAAGCGUGGGUAGCGAACAGG